ACAAAACAUGGAAUCCUAUCACCCCUCAACAUUUUACUUUUUUAGACAGAGGCCUAUGCUAAUUCCUGUUCACUUCAUAGAAGCCUGGAAUUGGGAAAGUAAACACAAACACAUCAAACUCUGGUCUACAUUAUUCUGAAUAAAGCAGACAGUCUUCACUAAUAAAUAUGUGAUAAUAAAAUGAAAAAUCUGCAACACCCAGACAAGUAUCAAAACCUGGCAAGACUGGACAGAUGUGAUUUCAUUCCUGGCAGGGAUAAUGGAGAUUUAUUUUUCACCACAGUUUCCAGAAUGUCUAGGCCCAACAAGUAUUUUUAUCCAGUGUGUAACAACGGGGUAUUAAUCCCAUAGGUAAAGGCAGCCUGAGCUUAAAGCUUACUACUCAUCCCCAUCUAAUCUUUGAAAUCAUUAAUAUGUGCACUCUCUAAAUUUUUUUACAGCAUGAUCCUUAGAUGCACAGAUAACUUUAACUUCAUUAUCUUACAAAUGUGUCUAGAAGGCCCAUAAUCACACAACAGAUUACAUUUCUUUCUCUUUCAGCCUCUACAAAAUUAACCUGCAAAGUGAACUAUGAGUACAAUGACCUCAGUUUAAAACAGCAAUCAGUGACAAUCUUUGAGGCAUGGUGUAGUUGUACUGAUGACCUUUAUACUAUAUUGUUUGCAAAGUUACUGUAUCAACAGUUCAAAUGUACUAAUUUAACACCACUUUACCAUUUUCACAGCUUUGGUGCAAAUGAAGUUAAUAACAAAUUCUAUCUUCCUCUUCUUUGAUAUUUGCAAUGAUUGCUUAUUUAAUUUAUUUGUCAAAUGGCAGGUACAUGAUAUUUCAUCUUUGACCCUUUUUUGCCUAGUUUGUAGACAACUUUGCCGUUAGAGACGUUGCCUAGGGUGCACCACAAGGAGGUAAUAAUAUUUAAUAAAUUUUCUAUUAAACAUUGCAUUGGAUUUAAGCAUCAGAUGUAAGCUGGAUUGAGUUAUUAUUUACUAUCUAUUACUAGCUUAUUUUAAUAAGCACUGUAUUAUAUUAUUACAUCAAAGUAAUACCUUAGGAUAGGGUCAUGUGACAUUCCAGUUAUGCACCACACCUUUAGCAAUGACAUAGCUUGAUGAGACUGUCAUACACUAGAUCUUUCAAGUACUUUAGUAUAUAUAUAAAAUGAAGUUCAAUUGUUCUAAGCACAUUGUUUAUUAUAAUACUGGUUGCCGAAUCUGCAGGUGGAAAAUGGCAGAAGGAUACAAAGGUGUGAGGGAACAAUAUGAAUUCUUUAAAUUCUCCACUGCACUCCCUUUCCAUCCUCUUCAACAGGAAAAAGAAAUGGAGUAAUAGUCAUUAUUUAUACUUUAGCUCUGACAACAGCAAAACAGUUCACCCUGCUAACCUUUAUGGUAAUGAUAAACAGAAAUGAGAUAUCAAAACCUGUAAUGUGUUUCCAUGUUAUUGUGUAACACUACUCCCACACUAGAAACUUUAUGCAUAAACAUAAACAAGGUAUGAUACAUAUCUUUCAGAACGCUUAACACACAUAUGUAAAACAGCAAACCCACAGGCAAUAAAAAACAUGCAAAUGUGCUGAACAAACGCAGCAGACUUUAAACCAAGUGUUGGCAACCUAUGACCUGCAGGGUGACUGCUCAGUACUGAAAAUACUCCCACUUCCCUGGCAGUUAGGACGUUGUGAAGAGAAAAAUACCCGCCCCUGCUGGAAAUCAAACCCUAGUCUUCCAGCAUUCUCCAGUUGAAUGGAACAGAAUAAUGCUGUACCCUUAACGCCACCACUUUCUACCACAUGCAUCCAACACACAAGCAAACAUAAAGGUGAAGUUGAGAAAGGUAUGAAUUUAUAAAUUUUAUGAUUUCCUCUAGAACAGAAUUCUUGGUGUAAAACAUAAAAUGAAAAAUGGGAGGGAUCUGCAGCUUGCUAUCCUGUACAAGUGUUCCUUAAUUUUGGCCAGGCAUUCAUUUAAAUA